CAUGCCCUGGUCGCAAGGCAUCCAUAACCCUCUCGGAACGGAGGAGCGAUUGAAGAAGAUCUUCGUCCCGAACUUUUUGCCUUCAAAAAAUAAGCAACCGCUUUGAAGUCGCUGAUUGAAUCAACGAUCGACAAAGUGAGGAAGUGGGGUGACCCGUACGAUAUAAGGUCACCAACGGUGUAACCCAUAAGCACCAGAUCUAGUCGAAUGAACAGAAAUAUGCCCGUAGUGCAAGUGGGAUUUGCAGGGACUUGCACUUGAUGACCGUGCGCUUUCUUGUGCGCGGUGCCGGGGUGGAACCGAUUCAGGAGGUGACUUCUGACACGGUUGCUUUCUACCGGCUUCUGCGGGUGUUUUUAUAUGUUAAGUUUUACAGCUGAACCGUAUACCGCUGUAUUCCGGUGAGCAGAUGACAGUUACAGUCGCCGGGUGAAAAAAACUUCAGCGUCUCCUUCGUCAUUUUUUUUUGAAGUCGAUCAACAUUCUACCCGGCGUGGUGCCGUCACAUUCCGACUAUAAUUAGGAGAUCAAAAAAGAAGAGUCAAGAUGUCUGUCUUCCGCCAGGACAGGAAUGUCUAUGUAUAGAACACCGAACGCUUCGAAAUGACCACCCACCGCCGAUCCUGACAUCGAGACUAGACGUGGAGACGGCUGCCAAAGGAAAAGUCAGUGGGCCGACAGCGCGCUAUUGGGUCACAACACAUGGUAUCAAUGGUUCUACAAUUCGACGUUGUUCGUGUACAGCCAAGGAACGUUACAUUUUGCUUGCUAAAUCACAGGAAACGAUUUUAUCUAGGAUUUCAACACGGCUUAGGGCAUGUUGCCAUUAAGUCGUAGACAAUCAGUUCCUUAUCAUACCCUUUCGGCAGUUGUAAACAAACUAUAUAUAUCUUGUAUGUCAUUAUUUGCGCGGCUGAAGGAUAAAUGUAUGGGUUUGUUUUGCGUUGACCUGACUUUGUUUGUUAAUCAUUUCCCACAUUUCUAGGUCUCAUUCCGCGCAAAACUUCCGUUGGUUAUGGCUCAUUUUCGACGGAGCGCAUGGACCAGCAACACCACCAUUAGCUGUUUCUAUGUGAGGUACAUAAAGAAAAAACCGAUGGGCGGGACCGUGCUACGUAAAACACGAUCCCGCCCAUCGAUAAAUCAACUGACGAACGUCACUGACCUUCAAGUGCGACACUAACAAUGAAUCACUUCAAUUCUCGCUGGAAUAAUAACACAACAAACAAAAAAUUAGUGCACUUGUUAACAGGUAUUGUAAUUUCCGAAAUAUAUAAACGUUACUUGAAAAAGACAGAGCUUGGUAUAUAUUUUACCUUUAUAUAAACCACUUACGGGCAGUUAUAGUAGCACGCUAGAAAGGUGACAGUGUAUGGAGAUGUCUGAAGUUCACCGAUUCUGAUUCGCUUCAUGGUGUUCAGUCAGAGUACACAACCUAUUUUAAAUGACAGAUCGCACUGGCCUGCAACAGCAGUUCAGGGUAAUAUAAUCCCUUUUCCGUUUCAGAUGCGGUAAACUUUCAAAGGAAUGGUAUAAUAUACUUAAUUUGGCGAUCGAAUUUUUUUUUUUUUUAGAGAAAAUGUUCUCAAUUCGAUCUAUUAUUGAGUUGAGAAUAAUUCGAGGAAAAUUUUAUCUGGUUGUUUGAAGUUUUUUAAUAUUUUCUCUCUAUAUCUUUAACCAUUGGUAACUUGACAUAGUUUGAUAGAGUGAUGAUCUAUUCGCUAUGUAUAGGGAAAUAUUAAAAAUAAUAAUUACUAGACCUGUUCGACUUGUAAAGACAGUGUUUUAUCUUUAAGCAUGUUUACUUUUGAAAGUACUCUGUAUUUGACUACAUCAGUACCCUUAGAUUUCCAAGGCACGUACUAACUGUGUUAGCCAUUUUUAAAGAGAUGGCUAUCGAAUUGGAGAAGACGAUAAAACAAACAAGUUUUCGGCUAUCUUAAAACAACGACAGAAAAUAUGCAUUCUUUUGCACCGAACAUUACUGGUGGCUAUUAAAUGUAAAGUACAGUAAGUAUAUAUAUAUCAGAUCAACGAUUUGAGCUAUUAUUAAUAGCCUAAUAAUAGGCCAACUAUGGAGAACAUAUUGCUACAAAGUCUACGGUAAGUACUCAGAUGUAGAAAGCUCUUUCACAAGACUGUGUUAGUGCCAUAGAAUUUUACAUAAAUAUAAUUAAGAAUUCAUUUAUACGCCACUGCACACAAUAUGCUGUCGACUAUAUAAUGCGCCGCGGGAUUCGAACGGGAAAACGUGGCAUAGAUCGAGUAAACGCACUAAUUGGCUCUUUGGGAUGAAGAUCUCGUUUCAUUCUGGGCUUAGACCCUUGGAACUGUCAGUUCUUUCCUAUACUUCAUAUAGACAUAGAGACUCCACUUGUUGCCAUCAAUAACAGCUCCGUAUAGGAAGCUAUUAUUGUGGCUGCGUAUCGUCCGAAUCAAUGUGAAGCUUCACUUUUUCGCGUAUCUCACCCAGACUAUGGCCCAGCUGCGCUCGUAAUUUUUGAUAAAAUACAUACAUACAUACAUUUAUAGAUGCCUCGAUGGUAGUCUAGUGUUCAGAGUUUAUACUUCUUGGUCAACUGAUACGUCGCUUGCCACUCAUUGCUUUAUCGAUUUCGGGUGCCCGACCAAGGUCGGGCGGCAUUUUCCAAAUUUGAGAUCCUCUUUUUGAAUUUGGCAAGCCUAUCUUUGGAGCCUCAACACAACAUAAAAUCCUCUUCACCAAAAGAAAAAAAUAUUAUUUUCGUAUAAUAUAUAAAUAUAUAAAAAAAGCAAACAGGGCAGAGAAAAAGUGAAAAGCGAACAUGAAGACAAAUGUAACUGAUUCAGGUUCCAACUUUUUCUUCAGAUCUCAUUUCAUCGGCCAGCAUACUUAAAUGAAGUAUCCAAUUUACGCCAAUUUAGCAUAUUCUAAUGUCGGCUAGACGGGAAAAAAGAAUUCUAAUGUUCACGUAAGUUUCUACCCCAAAAAAAAACAGCAUAUUUAAAAAUCUUUUUCAUCCACAACUUUGUUUCCAUUAUUUGUUUGAAUUAAAAACUGGCAAAAAAUUACAUGUUUUAGAAAGUAUCAUACAAUCACCAAAUUUUGCAAUAGACUACUGAAUUUCUAAAUAACUACGGUAUGUAAUGAGCGCUGUGUGGAAAUAUCAUCAGCAAAACUUCUUAAAGUAAUAGGUCUAAAUAGUGAGCUCUGUUGUUUCCUUGUGCGUUAAAAUUAGAACCCGAAGUAGCUGAAUGUUAUACGAGAAAGCUAUACAAUAAACAGCAUUUGAUUAACUUAAAGAUAUCUUUGAUAGUUGAACUAGAACGAGAAAUCUGAGUUUAUUCAGGAAGUGACG